CCACAGCUGCACUGGCUUAGGUCCUGGCCUCUCCCCAACUCUGAGGAGGAAAGAGUCCUGCCCUCUGUUAUUCCGAGGCCCACACCCAUUUCUUUUCUUCAGACUUUCAGAAUCAGGAGAUUCCUGGCCAAGAAACAAAAGCAGAAUCAUCCCAUUGCCCAAUGAAUUGGAAUGAAACCAGUUAAUAAAAUCAGGAGUCUGAAAAUUUAGAACAUUGAUUCUAUGAGCAUUUGGAAUCUUAAGUUGGAACAA